UACAGAGGGUGCAAGCGUUAAUCGGAAUUACUGGGCGUAAAGCGAGCGUAGGUGGCUUAAUAAGUUAGAUGUGAAAUCCCCGGGCUUAACCUGGGAACUGCAUCUAAAACUGUUUCGCUAGAGUAGGUGAGAGGGAGGUAGAAUUUCAGGUGUAGCGGUGAAAUGCGUAGAGAUCUGAAGGAAUACCGAUGGCGAAGGCAGCCUCCUGGCAUCAUACUGACACUGAGGUUCGAAAGCGUGGGUAGCAAACAGG
rnacentral:rRNA from 1 species